AGGAGGUGGAGCGGCAGCAGUGUUUCUGUUCGUCAGACUCCCCCCUCCUAAAUGAAAUCCUCAUCACGCUGGCGCAGGCCAAGCGCUCGCCCGCCAGCGACACACAACUCUGUGUGCAGCAGCUGUGAUAUCUGCAGGCUGGAGUGAAAGCUGUCAAAGAGCUCACAGAAACAUCUGGAAAGAUUCAUCUCAGGUUUUGACAGUCACACUAAUGAGCUCAGACCGGAAAUCAACAUCUGUCCUGAGCGACCACAGCAUCCAGCCCUCAGUCCGUCACGUCACAGCUGACAUUAACCUGCGUCUGAGUGACCAAACCAACAGUCCAUCACUCAGACAGACUCCAUGUUUCUACACAGAAAGAAGUUCAUGUAGAACAUCUGCUGAAUUAACAAGAAGGUCCAAAUAAUACAGAACGAGACAGAGACAGAGUUUCACAGAGUUUAUAAAGUGUCUCCAACUCAACAACUCACUAAACUGACACAUUUGUUAAGGGAGUCUGGUGAUGAUGUGGCUGGAUCUUGUUGUUGUUGCUCUUUGUCUUCGUGUGCUUCUUGUCAUUCUUCUUGUUCUUCUCGUUCUUUUUCUCCUCGUUCUUCUUUUUUUCCCUCGUUCUUCUCUUUCGCGUCCUUCCUCGUCACGUCUCUCCUCUUCGUUUGUGAUCUGAAUGAUCUGAUCUAAAAUGCCUCUCAUUCACACCUGUGAUCAGAUCCCUCAGGUAGGAUGUUUAUCAUGUCUGAACGUUGAAACUUCCACAGCUGAGUUAGACAGAUCCUUAUUAUCAUUUCUGAUGUCAUGCUGGCUGAUUCCAGCUCACCUGGUUUAAUUUGUAGAUGCAGUUGAAGUGGUAGUAUGAACAUCUCUGUGUACAAAUACUGUUAAAAUUGUACCUAAAGUAUAAAGUAUAAUCAGUGUCGUCGUGUUGUCAGUAACGUGUCCCUGCUGCCUGUCGUCUUCUCUGUGAUGUCAUUAGAUGACUGUGACUCGGUCCUUAAUGUAAAAGCAGGAGGUGGAGUCUGUUCAUGUGCACAGUAUGUCUGACAUGCUUGAAAAUACAUAAAAAUAUACUAUAUACUAGAGACAAAUAGUUUCAUCCCUUUGCGUCUCGCUGCCGUGAUGAUUGAAUGUGAGGUGGACUCACUGCUGAGUGGAUGCUUUAUGAUCACACUUCAGAUUGUGCUGAAGUCCUCUGGAGUAAAAACUGAUCUGAGUCUCUGAGAUCAAAUGAAAUCCUCCACACUGCAUCACUGCAUGAGUUAUUCCCCCACACAGUGUCCAUGACGUCCGAUCACAGGAGCUGAAUCAGUCGUAGCAUCAACUUAUUUGAUUACUUCCUGAAAAUGUAAGAAAGUUUACACCUAACUUGGUCCUAAAUGUAAAAACUGGACUUAUAACAUCAAAAAAUAGCUCAGACUGAUGGUGUCAUAACAUUUCUACCUAUAUAUUGAAAACAAUGUUAUUGUUAAUAUCAAACAGUUGAGGGAAGAAAUACGUCAUCUGAUCCAAAGAAGAAGAAACGACGCUGUGCUGGUUGUUCCUGUCUCAGUCUCAGUGCUGCAUGCUGUCAUAUCUCUGUAAACAACAACCACUGGUUUCAUACUGAGGCCUCAGACGACUGUUCCAGCUAAAUAAACGUGUUGGUGAAGAA